GACAGAGGCCUCAAGCGUUAGGCGGAAUCACUGGGCUUAAAGCGUGUGUAGGCGGAUCGUUAAGUGCCUUGUGAAAUCCCACGGCUUAACUGUGGAACGGCUGGGCAUACUGGCGGUCUUGAGCCAUCUAGGGGCGACUGGAACAAACGGUGGAGCGGUGAAAUGCGUAGAGAUCCGGAGGAACACCAGAGGCGAAGGCGGCAACCUGGCACGUUACUGACGCUCAUACACGACAGCAUGGGGAGCGAACGGG
rnacentral:rRNA from 1 species